rnacentral:rRNA from 1 species
AGAGAUGUGUGAUGACGCAUAUCAAUAAGCGGAGGAAAAGAAACUAACAAGGAUUCCCUUAGUAACGGCGAGUGAAGCGGGAAGAGCUCAAAUUUGAAAUCUUCAAGGUUCUACCUUGACGAAUUGUAGUUUAUAGAAGUGUUUUCUGUUAGUAGAGUGGCAAAAGUUCUUUGGAAUAGGACAUCAUAGAGGGUGAGAAUCCCGUAUUUGGUCAUUCUUUCUAGCUUUGUGAUACACUUUCAACGAGUCGGAUUGUUUGGGAAUGCAGUCCAAAAUGGGUGGUAAAUUUCAUCUAAAGCUAAAUAUUGGCGAGAGACCGAUAGCGAACAAGUACCGUGAGGGAAAGAUGAAAAGAACUUUGAAAAGAGAGUUAAACAGUACGUGAAAUUGUCAAAAGGGAAGCGUUUGACACCAGUGUUGUUUUUCCGAAAAUCAAUUACGAAUGUUUUGUUUUUAAGAGUUAUGACUUCAUCGGCUUGCUUCUCUCUUUACGAAACUUUCUUAAUGCACUUUUCCGGUUAACAAGUCAACAUCAAUUUCUUUUGUUGUAAAAGAGUAUGAGGAAGGUGGCUUUCUUUUCGGGAGAAAGUGUUUAUAGCCCUUGUGCCUCUGCAAUCGGAGAGAUUGAGGUCUGCAGCGUAGAUCCUUCGGGGUUAGAUACAUUUGUGCUAAGUUAUAGCUUUUCAUAGACAACUUGUUGACUAUGAUUAGUCUUGUAGCUUACUCGCUUAUGCUAUUUUACCUACGCUUAGGAUGUUGAAGAUGUAGCACAUCAU